AUGGAAUGGAGCUGGAUCAUCCUCUUCAUAUUUUCUGUGACUACAGGUGUCCACUCCCAGGUUCAGCUGCAGCAGUCUGGGGCUGAGCUGAGGAGACCUGGGUCCUCAGUGAAGUUGUUCUGCAAGGCUUCUGGCUACACCUUCACUGACUACUAUAUGCACUGGGUGAAGCAGAGUCCUGGACAAGGCACGGAAUGGAUUGGAUGGAAUAAUCCUUCAAGUGGUGGUACUAGUUACAAUCAGAAGUUCAAGGGAAAGGCCACACUGACUGCAGAUACAUAAUCUAGCACAGCCUACAUGGAGCUCAGCAGCCUGACAUCUGAGGACUCUGCUGUCUAUUACUGUGCAAGACACACAUCAGGGACUGUGUCCCUGUGCAAUGUUUUUGAUGUCUGGGGCCAGGGGACCCAGAUCACCGUCUCCUCAGCUGAAACAACAGCCCCACAUGUCUACCCACUGGCCCCUGGCCAUGAUGGCAUGACUGGCUCCACAGUCACCCUGGGAUGCCUGGUCAAGGGCUAUUUCCCUGAGCCAGCAACUGUAACCUGGAACUCCGGAGCUCUGACCAGCGGUGUACACAUCUUCCCGUCCGUCCUGCAGUCUGGCCUCUACUCUCUCAGCAGCUCAGUGACUGUACCUUCCAGCACCUGGCCCAGCAAGCCAGUCAUCUGCAAUGUAGACCACCCGGCCAGCAGCACCAAGGUGGACAAGCCAAUUGUGCCCCAAGGAGCCAAUUGCAAGCCAUGCAUAUGUACAGUCCCAGAAGUAUCAUCUGUGUUCAUCUUCCCCCCAAAGCCCAAGGACGUGCUCACCAUCUCUCUGACCCCCAAAGUCACAUGUGUUGUGGUGGACAUUAGCCAAGACGAUCCCGAGGUCCAGAUCAGCUGGUUUGUGGAUGACGUGCAAGUGAACACAGCUCAGACUCAACCCCGGGAGGAGCAAUUCAACAGCACCUUCCGUGUAGUCAGUGUCCUCCCCAUCCAGCACCAGGACUGGCUGAAUGGCAAGAAGUUCAAAUGCAGGGUCAGCAGUGCAGCGUUCGCCUCCCCCAUCGAGAAAACCAUCUUCAAAAGCACAGGACAACCCCGGGUUCCACAGGUGUACGUCUUACCCCCACCCAAGGAGCAGAUGGCCAAGAGUGAUGUCAGUCUUACCUGCAUGAUAAUGGGCUUCUCCCCUGGAGAAAUCCAUGUGGAGUGGCAGAGGAACGGGGAGACAGAGAGGAACUUCAAGAACACGGAGCCUGUUUUGGACAGCGAUGAGACUUACUUCCUCUACAGCAAGCUCAAUGUAAAGAAGGACGAUUGGGAGAAGGCAGAGUACAGCUGUUCUGUCUUUCACGAGGCCCUGCCCAACCACCACACGGAGAAGAGUAUCUCCCACUCUCGUGGUAAAUGAACCCAGUGUCCUGUGAGCCCGCUGGUCCUAAGGGACUCUGACACCUACCUCCACCCUUCCCUGUGUAAAUAAAGCACCCAGCACUGCCCUGGGACCCUGC